rnacentral:piRNA from 1 species
UGCAUCCUCUCCAGGCCCUGGACUUCCUCC